rnacentral:rRNA from 1 species
UACGUAGGGAGCAAGCGUUGUUCGGAUUUACUGGGCGUAAAGGGCGCGUAGGCGGCGCGGUAAGUCACUUGUGAAAUCUCUGAGCUUAACUCAGAACGGCCAAGUGAUACUGCAGUGCUAGAGUGCAGAAAGGGCAAUCGGAAUUCUUGGUGUAGCGGUGAAAUGCGUAGAUAUCAAGAGGAACACCUGAGGCGAAGGCGGGUUGCUAGGCUGACACUGACGCUGAGGCGCGAAAGCUAGGGUAGCAAACGGG